rnacentral:rRNA from 1 species
AUUGAACGCUAGCGGCAUGCUUUACACAUGCAAGUCGAACGAGUGGCGGACGGGUGAGUAAUAUCUCGGAACGUGCCCAGUAGCGGGGGAUAACUACUCGAAACAGUGGCUAAUACCGCAUACUAUCGGAUCUGCCCAUAUCGGAUUAGCUAGUUGGUGGGGUAAAGGCUCACCAAGGCAACGAUCCGUAGCUGGUCUGAGAGGACGACCAGCCACACUGGGACUGAGACACGGCCCAGACUCCUACGGGAGGCAGCAGUGGGGAAUUUUGGACAAUGGGGGAAACCCUGAUCCAGCCAUGCCGCGUGUAUGAGAAGGCCUUCGGGUUGUAAAGUACUUUUGGCAGAGAAGCGGUAUCUGCAGAAUAAGCACCGGCUAACUACGUGCCAGCAGCCGCGGUAAUUC